rnacentral:ncRNA from 60 species
GUGCAUUGUAGUUGCAUUGCA